rnacentral:rRNA from 1 species
AGAGUUUGAUCCUGGCUCAGAACGAACGCUGGCGGCAGGCUUAACACAUGCAAGUCGAACGCACCUUUCGGGGUGAGUGGCAGACGGGUGAGUAACGCGUGGGAACGCGCCCUUCAGUUCGGGAUAACCCAGGGAAACUUGGGCUAAUACCGGAUACGUGCGAGAGCAGAAAGAUUUAUCGCUGAAGGAUCGGCCCGCGUCUGAUUAGCUAGUUGGUAGGGUAAUGGCCUACCAAGGCGACGAUCAGUAGCUGGUCUGAGAGGAUGAUCAGCCACAUUGGGACUGAGACACGGCCCAAACUCCUACGGGAGGCAGCAGUGGGGAAUAUUGGACAAUGGGCGCAAGCCUGAUCCAGCCAUGCCGCGUGAGUGAUGAAGGCCUUAGGGUUGUAAAGCUCUUUCGUCCGGGACGAUAAUGACGGUACCGGAAGAAGAAGCCCCGGCUAACUUCGUGCCAGCAGCCGCGGUAAUACGAAGGGGGCUAGCGUUGUUCGGAAUCACUGGGCGUAAAGGGCGCGUAGGCGGCUUGAUAAGUCGGGGGUGAAAGCCUGUGGCUCAACCACAGAAUUGCCUUCGAUACUGUCUGGCUUGAGACCGGAAGAGGUAAGUGGAACUGCGAGUGUAGAGGUGAAAUUCGUAGAUAUUCGCAAGAACACCAGUGGCGAAGGCGGCUUACUGGUCCGGUUCUGACGCUGAGNNNCGAAAGCGUGGGGAGCAAACAGGAUUAGAUACCCUAGUAGUCC